GAGGAAACCAGCGCUCUCCCGCCUGAGGUGGUCCGACCAGGCUGAUGGCCGCCCGCGGGGGCCCGCCCCUUCCGACCUCAGGCGGGAAGCGGAAGUGAGAUCACGCAGGCGCCGGGGUCUUUUCCGCCGCUGGUCUGGUUUCGCUUUGGCUGUGAGUGCGCGCCUGCCAGCGUCUGGAAGCUAACACGAGGGAGAGGGAAGGGCCUGGGGGGCUGGAAGGUGGCAUUUAAAGGACAAGUGUCUCGGGCCUCCCAGGUGCCUGCUUAAAGAGACCUGGCCCGUGGAGAGCCUGGCGGGCUCAGUGAGUGGAGCGAGCCACUCGAUCUUGGGGUGGGGGAAAAGAGCUUCAUCCGCCGAGUUGGUAGAUUCUGGCGGUGUCCUCGCGUCCUCACGGACCACGCGGUUCCGGCGCACUCGGGCAAGAAUUCAUGUUGAAUGGGAACUCUCUGUGAGCAGUGCCAGAAAGACUUGAGUGAAUGCUCAUACCUUUAGACACAGGAGAACUCAGAAUGGAGGGACCACUUUCGAGAGUAAGGAAUAUGGAAAAGGCUUCCUUUCUCUCUGUAAGUGGAGACAGACUUCCUGGGUUUAAACAACACGGAAAAAAC